rnacentral:rRNA from 1 species
AACUACUGGAAACGGUAGCUAAUACCGCAUAAUGUCGCAAGACUAAAGAGGGGGACCUUCGGGCCUCUUGCCAUCGGAUGUGCCCAGAUGGGAUUAGCUAGUAGGUGGGGUAACGGCUCACCUAGGCGACGAUCCCUAGCUGGUCUGAGAGGAUGACCAGCCACACUGGAACUGAGACACGGUCCAGACUCCUACGGGAGGCAGCAGUGGGGAAUAUUGCACAAUGGGCGCAAGCCUGAUGCAGCCAUGCCGCGUGUAUGAAGAAGGCCUUCGGGUUGUAAAGUACUUUCAGCGGGGAGGAAGGGAGUAAAGUUAAUACCUUUGCUCAUUGACGUUACCCGCAGAAGAAGCACCGGCUAACUCCGUGCCAGCAGCCGCGGUAAUACGGAGGGUGCAAGCGUUAAUCGGAAUUACUGGGCGUAAAGCGCACGCAGGCGGUUUGUUAAGUCAGAUGUGAAAUCCCCGGGCUCAACCUGGGAACUGCAUCUGAUACUGGCAAGCUUGAGUCUCGUAGAGGGGGGUAGAAUUCCAGGUGUAGCGGUGAAAUGCGUAGAGAUCUGGAGGAAU